GGUCAGCGACUGGGGUGAAGUCGUAACAAGGUAGCCGUAGGGGAACCUGUGGCUGGAUCACCU
rnacentral:rRNA from 1 species